GCCCUGUUGGUGUAGUCCGGCCAAUCAUCUCAGAUUUUCGAUCUGAGGACGUGGGUUCGAAUCCCGCACGGGGCA
rnacentral:tRNA from 1 species